rnacentral:lncRNA from 1 species
AGUCAACAUUGUUGCUAAGUGCAGGAUCAGAGGAUAGAAUCAACAUGAUAUAGGUUAGGGAGCACAGAUUUGCCAGAAGUUUUUAUGCCUAGAAAAGAGGGUCUUAUCUAAGUGGGUAUAUAAGAAUCCUUAGGUUUAAUAUUGUAAGUGAGCUCUCCUGGUAAUAUCCUAGGGGGACAGAGUGGGACAUCUGUAUUAACCCUACAAGCAUGUUGCUCUCAUCUAUUUUUCCUGGGGCUAAGAUGUCCUUUACUUCUGUGUGGGGAAAGAGAAAGAUGUUUUCUCAAAUGGAUAAAUAUCUGUCAGUCCAAAAAAGUACUACCUGGGCACAAGGCUGGAUGACAUUUUCAACUUCUAGUAGAAGCAACAAAGGAAGAAAAAAGAAGAAAGAUUUCUGAUUGCUACUUUGCUCACCAGAAAUGCAGCCUUUAACCUAUUUCUGCUCACAAAGAAUUGGAUGGUAGGUUCCUACUGUCUUUUGUAAAGGAGGAUUCCUAGA